CGGGCUUUGGAUCCAAUCAUAGUACAGUUAGUGACUCUCAUAACAGUUAUCCUGAUGAUGCACUGUGGACACAUCUUGUCAAGUAGUCAGUAUCGUAGCAUGCAAAGUCCACAGAUGGUUAAGACCACCAGUGGCUGUUCUCUUCUGGGGCCUGCAUAGACCCUUCUGGCACAUUGAAAGCUGGUCACAGAAAGGAAGUCACGAGCAUAGUCCCAGCUUGAUUUCUGUGUCCUGCAAGCAAGGCCUUGCGGUGUUUUCAGCAAUAGGGUCUCAUUUUAGUGGGCAACCAAAAGCAGUAUUAGGAGCUUGUGUUGUUUGGGAAGAGAUGUCAUGGGGAUGUGUCUGACCAACAACUCAUAAGGAAUUUCCCUACAUUAACACUGGGAUCUCUGUUUAAUAACUCAUGGCUUCUAGGACUGGCAUUCCACCCAUAGAGGUUGUCUGUCUCUGGAGACUGCUUCAGAAAAAGGUGGCUGAGAAGAAAAGGAAGACUAUGGAGAUAGAUUGGUCAGAAGAGGGUAUCAGAUCUUUAGGAGAUGGAGUUAUAGGAAGUUGUGAGUCACAGGAUGUUGCUGGAAACUGAGUCCUCUGAAAGAGCAAUACGUGGUGAGUCUGAAUUUUUGAUGCUGUCUUUUCAUCCUGACACUUU
rnacentral:lncRNA from 1 species